UGUCAGCCUCCUAGGUAGCUAGGAUGACGGGCGUGAGCCACCGAGCGCCUCCUGAGAGACACCCGUAGACAGUGCUCACCGCUUGCUGGCCCUGGGCAGGCGGGAGCCCUCAUGCGCCAUAUCUGGACCCACAGAAACUGACCCGCCGCCUCGCUGAUGGAAGAAUCAGAGAAGCACAGCAGCUGCUGCCCAGGUCCUCCGUCCCACAGGGGGCGCCACCAGGGCUGCGCAAGCUCCUGAGGUGCAUGGGGUUGGAUGAAGAAGGAACGUAGGAGUGGAGGGAGAGGCCAAGAGGUCCAGAGUCCAGGAAAAUGUCACUGGGAAGGAGCCAGCAUGGAGCCACACAGUGUCCCUCCCUCUAC